rnacentral:rRNA from 1 species
CCUACGGGAGGCAGCAGUGGGGAAUAUUGGGCAAUGGGCGCAAGCCUGACCCAGCAACGCCGCGUGAAGGAAGAAGGCUUUCGGGUUGUAAACUUCUUUUCUGAGGGACGAAAAAAGUGACGGUACCUCAGGAAUAAGCCACGGCUAACUACGUGCCAGCAGCCGCGGUAAUACGUAGGUGGCAAGCGUUACCAGGAAUGAGUGGGUGUAAAGGGCGUGUAGGCGGGAAAGCAAGUCAGAUGUGAAAACUAAGGGCUCAACCCUGAGCCUGCAUUUGAAACUGUUUUUCUUGAGUGCUGGAGAGGCAAUCGGAAUUCCGGGUGUAGCGGUGAAAUGCGUAGAUAUACGGAGGAACACCAGUGGCGAAGGCGGAUUGCUGGACAGUAACUGACGCUGAGGCGCGAAAGCGUGGGGAGCAAACAGGAUUAGAUACCCCUGUAGUC